rnacentral:rRNA from 1 species
AUUGAACGCUGGCGGCAUGCCUUACACAUGCAAGUCGAACGGCAGCACGGGGGCAACCCUGGUGGCGAGUGGCGAACGGGUGAGUAAUGCAUCGGAACGUGCCCCGUAGCGGGGGAUAACCAGUCGAAAGACUGGCUAAUACCGCAUACGCUCCACGGAGGAAAGCAGGGGAUCGCAAGACCUUGCACUAUGGGAGCGGCCGAUGCCCGAUUAGCUAGUUGGUGAGGUAAAGGCUCACCAAGGCGACGAUCGGUAGCUGGUUUGAGAGAACGACCAGCCACACUGGGACUGAGACACGGCCCAGACUCCUACGGGAGGCAGCAGUGGGGAAUUUUGGACAAUGGGCGCAAGCCUGAUCCAGCCAUGCCGCGUGCGGG